GUUGAAUAAACAACAAAAGCAACUACAAAAUGGUCAGAGGCCAAAGUAUUAGCAAUAUGCUUAUAAUAAUACAACCCAUUUCCAUCAGCUUCAAGAUCAAAGGGAGAGAUAUCAAACACAACACAAUUCAUUUUAAAAAAAAAAACACACAACAAAAUUCUCCAUCAAGGAACAACCCCUCUUGGCCAAAAGUCAGCCAGUUUGUUCCUUUCAAAAGAGAAUGGGCUUUUUUUUUUUUUUCUUCAUAUAAGAGGGGUCAAAGUGUCAAACAUCUCAGGAAUAUAUCCCCAAAGACUAGAGACUCUGGGGGCAUUUUUAACAAAGUGAGGGGGGCCCCUCCCCCCUAAUGGCUUCGCCUUCGACGCUAUGACAAACAUACGGUAGAGUAUUAUAAAGACUAGGGCUGUCCAGUCAACCGCCAGACCCGACUCACCAGCCGCUGCCGACAGAACCCGACCCGCCGCCGACCGAACUGAUUUCUUCGACGGUCGGUGACGGAUUGCUUUUUCCAGAACCCGACUUUGACGGGUCGAACGUCGGUUCUCCUUCUUCAAAAUCCGAGAAACCCGAUCCGACCAACCCACAAAUAUUCCAGCGUUAUUUGAUAAAUCCGGCGAGUUUUGAGAUGUUUUUUGGCUAGAUCCGGCGAGAUUUCGCUAGAUCUAGUCGAGUUUUUGGCUAGAUUCGGCGAGAUUUCGCCAGAUCUAGUCGAGAUCUUGGCUAUUUUCGGCGAAAUCUCAAAGGAUUUUGGCCUUUUUUUCAUUGUUCAGCGAGUUUUGAGAUGUUCUUUGACUAGAUCUUGGCUAGAUACGGCGAGAUUUCACUAGAUCUAGUCGAGUUCUUGGCUAGAUCUGGCGAGAUUUCGCCAGAUCUAGUCAAGAUCUUGGCAAUUUCCGGCGAAAUCUCAAAGGAUUUUGGCCGAUUUUCAUAGUUUUCUCGUCGGAUUUCCUCUAAUUUCCAGAUCUCGACUCUGACCGAACCCGAUCGCCGCUCGUUGAUGUUCCAACCCGUCCAAAUCGAUCAUCCUCUCGGUCGGCAGCAGGUUGAAAGUUUGCCCAUCCGAUUUGGUCGGGUCGGAUGCAGGUUGAGCCAAAUCCGAUCCGACCCGUGGACAAGCACUAAAGAGUAAUAAUAUGUUUACAAACAUUUUAAUGAAAAAGUAAUGAAUAUCUUAAUUUAUAUAUAUAUAUAUAUAUAUAUAUAUAAAACUGAAACUUUUGAAACUUCCACAAUUUUCUACGUCAUCAUUUUUUUUUUUAAUACUUUCUAAAUAUGAUUUAUAAGUUUUGAUUUUUUUCCCCCAAUUUUCCACCUCGUCAUUUAAUUUUUUUUUAAUACUUUUUAAAUAUGAUUUAUAAGUUUUGAUUUUUUCCCCCACCAAACACACGUUACAAAACCCAAUACCUCUUUAAAACCUAAAACUAAUCCUCAGACGCUAUCUCCUUCCCCUAAACCUAAAACUCACUUUUCUUUCUCCAACAUCAAAACGCAAAACUUAGAUUCUGAGAGUGAAAGUCAUUGGCUAAAGAGAGAUCAAGAAAGCCACCACCCACUGUCAGGCAUGCAUUUCGCCACCAUCAGACUGCUGCUGAUUGUUAUGUAGAAUGUUGUGGCCCUUGUGGGAAGCAAUCCCUUCACUUGUCUGCACUUUUUUUUUGUCCCCCACCCUCCCUUCUUUUAAAGAAAGAUAAAGAUUACAUCUUUUUUAGGUUGUCUUCAGUUUUCUUAUUUGUAUUUAUUUAUUUAGAUUUCUAAUUCUAAUUUCUUUUAUGCCUUAUGUGAAUGAUCUGAUUUAUUUGAAAAGAAGAGCAUUUUGUGCAUAUUGUUGGAUUAUAUAUUUGGGUUGUGCAUUUUUUUUUCCUUAGGAACCAAUAUUGUUGCAUAGUUGCUGAAUGUGUGGAACAUUGAGGUAAGGUUUUAAUAAUCUUGAGGAUUGCUUUUAUCUGGACAUAAUAUACCUUUUAUUUUUUGUUUUGCUUGAUAUUAAAGGAAAAAUGAUUUGGCUAGGAAUGAGAUCCUUCUACUAAAAUGUAGAUUUGAGGGAGAAUGUGGUGUGUUGACUGAGACCAUGUUUUAUGUCCCUAAUAGGAACAAGAUAAGUUUUGGUAUUGGAACAAUUUAGUAGUGACCUGUUAGAUUUUACUAAUAAUACAAUUUUGGUCCUUUUGUCUAUCAUAAAAUAUAUAUUGAUGACAGUUACUGCCUUUUCCAAGUAGCUACUUUUUCCAAUUUAAAUGAUGAAAUUUGCAUAGCUAUUCAUUUGAUGAAAUGAUAGUUAGUGAUAUGGGUUAAAUUCAUAUUGAAAUUGUUUUAAAUGGGACAAAGGCUCAAAGUUGAGUUUUAAUUAUGUCUUCAAUUAGGUUUUCUAUCAAUUUAGGGAUUUCAAUUCCUAUCUUUUUGUAAGAAAAUAUUGUGGAUAUGGAUUGGUUUCGUAGUGGAGAUAGUAUUGAAGAGCCUCCCAACCCUCAAAAUCUGACAACAACCCUACAGGUUUUGCUUUAGCUUCAAGCUCUACUUAAUUUCUUUAUUCAUAUUUCUAAUUCGAAUUUCUUUUAUACCUUAUGUGAAUGAUCUGAUUUAUUAGAAAAGAAGAGCAUUUUGUGCAUAUUGUUGGAUAAUAUAUUUGGGUUGUGCAUUUUUAUUUUCCUUAGGAACCAAUAUUGUUGCAUAGUUGCUGAAUGUGUGGAACAUUGAGGUGCUCUUACUGAUAUCAGGUUUUAAUAAUCUUGGGGAUUGCUUUUAUCUGGACAUGAUAUACGUUUAGUUUUUUGUUUUUGUUUUGCUUGGUAUUAAAGGAAAAAUGAUUUGGCUAGGAAUGAGAUCCUUCUACUAAAAUGUAGAUUUGAGGGAGAAUGUGGUGUGUUAUCGCACUCUCUCAAAUACUAUAACUCUUCUGUUCUCAAAGCCCCUAACUUGGGUAAAGCAACUGUUUUCUAGGAACUAUUUUAAGGCAAAGCAAAAGGGUUUGACAUGGAGAAGGCUUUAUUGGCAAAGUCUAUUCGUGAUUUUGAAAAGCGUGAUUUUGAAAAAGCAAUAUCUAUGGUAUCUUAGCACAAGAGAUGUGGUUGGGAAUGUGAGCAAGCAAAGAUGAUUUAUAAAACUCUAUGUUUUGUGUUGAAUAAGUAUAUGAUGUACUCUUCUAUAUAAUGUAGAUUUGUUGUAUUAUGUUCUUUCUCUACUCUUUUUGAGUCAUAGCAAAAGAAUUUGACAUUGGUAACUAUAUUCUAUUUAUUUAUUAUGAAAAUAAGAUUGCAAUCAUUACAAUUUGUUUA